ACGCGAGCUGGGUUCAGAACGUCGUGAGACAGUUCGGUCCCUAUCCGUCGCAGGCGUAGGAAAUUUGAGAAGACCUGUCCUUAGUACGAGAGGACCGGGAUGGACGUACCUCUGGUGUACCAGUUGUUCUGCCAAGGGCAUGGCUGGGUAGCUGUGUACGGAAUGGAUAAGCGCUGCAAGCAUCUAAGCGCGAAGCCAACUUCAAGAUAAGAUUUCCCACCGCAAGGGUAAGACCCCAGAAAGACUAUCUGGUUGAUAGGUCGAAGGUGUACGUGCAGCAAUGUAUUUAGCUUAUCGAUACUAAUAGGUCGAGGACUUGACCAAU
rnacentral:rRNA from 1 species